GGUCAGUGAUGAUUGGUAAAAGGUCUGAUUGCACGUAAGGUCACAGUCCCUGCCCUGCCCUCAGCUCCCAGCAGCCCAUUUUUUUCCCUCCCAUCACAUUUAAGUCAUGUGUAUGGGGUAAUGGAGCAGCUGACAACAUGGGAUUCUGUCAGUGUGUGUUUCUGAAGAGUCAACAGUGCACAGCAGACCAGUAUCCAACAAAACCAGCUACACAGGAGCUUGAUGAGCGGCAGCCAUGGGUGUGAUGGUGCAUGAUCUCAAGUUUUCAAUCUGAGACC
ensembl:scaRNA